CAGCAGCCGCGGUAAUACGUAGGUGGCAAGCGUUGUCCGGAAUUAUUGGGCGUAAAGCGCGCGCAGGCGGUCUUUUAAGUCUGAUGUGAAAGCCCACGGCUCAACCGUGGAGGGUCAUUGGAAACUGGAAGACUUGAGUGCAGAAGAGAAGAGCGGAAUUCCACGUGUAGCGGUGAAAUGCGUAGAGAUGUGGAGGAACACCAGUGGCGAAGGCGGCUUUCUGGUCUGUAACUGACGCUGAGGCGCGAAAGCGUGGGGAGCAAACAGGAUUAGAUACCCUGGUAGUCCACGCCGUAAACGAUGAGUGCUAAGUGUUGGAGGGUUUCCGCCCUUCAGUGCUGCAGCUAACGCAUUAAGCACUCCGCCUGGGGAGUACGGUCGCAAGACUGAAACUCAAAGGAAUUGACGG
rnacentral:rRNA from 1 species